GGGUGCAAAUCGAUGCCGCCGAAGCGAAGCGAAAGUUCAAAUGCUGCCGAGACAGGGCGAAGCGUGGCGAUUGUGAAGCGGCGGCGCGAGGGGCAGCGCAGCGAGUUCUCUUCAAGUGCGCUGUAUUCGACGUUUGAGGCACACGUCACUGCGGCACAAAAUUCGUUCCUGCGAGGUGAUUCACAAGCAGCAGAGCACGAGGCGGUGCAAGCGCUCCGCAUCCGACCCACCGCGCAUCUCUUCGCUCUGUUGGCGGUGAUUGCGGAGUCGAAAGGAAAGUUUGACCAGGCCAGCGACUUCCGACUCCUUCAGGCCUUCUUGGCUCGCGACAUCGUUCUAUGGGAGGAGCUGCUGCACGAUUUCAUGACACAGCAGCUCUACUACAAGUCUGUGGUUUGCCUGCAGCGGAUGUCGGCGCUGGAGAAGAACCAGGAGCGGUACCGUGCGCUGCAGCUGCAGUUGGCAGAUCUACUUAUUGGUCUGGGCGAGAUUCGGAGAGCGUCGAACGUGCUGGUGCCGUUGUGGAACAGCAGCCGUUGCCGCGACUUUGAGGUGUUCGCCCUCCUCUCGUCUUUGUACUUCCAGCUCGGCAAGUGGGCGUCACUCCAGCGGCUGAUCGAGAGCAGCGUCAAGCACGCUUUUCAACUACUGCCAACGGCUGAGGUGACCGGAGCGACAACGGCGGCGGGUGAGACGAUGGCACACGGGGCGGAGGCAACUGCUCAAGUGUCGUCUUCCACUCCAGGUACGGAGCAGCAGCUGCCCUCACCCCCGCCGGACUCGUCGAUCUCAGAACAACGCGUCUCAAAACGCGUUCGCUUCUUUGGCAUGGACGCCGGCGAGGACGGCGCAGCAGUGCCCGUCACAGCGGACCUCACUGCCACAACGGCACCGACGUCUUUGUCUCCUGCCGAGGCUUCGUUGGACGAAUUCGGGUUUGACGACUUCAUAUCACCUGCCUCGCCUCUCUUACAUCCACCGUCGUCCAACCGCCCUGGGGAUGCAGCUGGCAGCACGGGUGCGCACCGCGGCGGCGUGGUGCAUCAACUUUACGGGGAGCGAAUAGAGCUGCGCAGCCCGCAGGACCAGAAGAACUUUCUCACGCUUGUCAACGUCCAUGCCGAGCUGCUGAACGAGCAGGGCAACUUCUCCGACACAGUGCAGCUGCUUCAUAUGGCGGCUGGCUGCCUUGAUGUUGACCUCAUGGAGCUUCCGCCGGACCUCCUCGUGCGGCUUGGCGUGGCCUACGCGUUCCUUGGCGGCGUCUAUGAGCAACCAUGCCGCGACGUUUUUCAGCACUUGGUGGCACACUGCUCAAUGGAGGACUAUGGUGAUGUCCUGCUGGAUGCGGCCAUGUCGCUGCAGAAGGUGAGCAUGCAUGCGGAGGCGGCACAGGUGUACGUGACGCUGGCCCGCUACCAUCAGUUUGUCUACGACCGUGUUCGCAGGCAGGUGGGUAUGGCGGAGGCGGAGCUGACGUUGAUGCAGGACACAGCUCCGUUGAACCAGGUGCAGUCGGCCACAGACGCGUUAAAGGCACUCAAGGCGGAGGAGGCAGACCUCAAAACGGUGCUAGCCGCUGCCCUUCAAGGGCAGGCUGAAAGCGCGUACGCGAGGGAGCUGUACGACGAAGCGAAGGAAUACGCCGAGCGCGUGCUGCAGCUGGAGCCAACGCAUCUGCAGGCACGUCUCCUGCUCGGUCGCUACUACUUCUAUCAGCACAAAGACACCGCCGCUGCCGUAGAGGUGUUGACGCCGUCGACACACGAGCCAGCGCUCCAGCGCAUUCAGCUCGGGGUGUUCCUCGUUCACGUGUUUCAGCGUGCAAAGCGCUACGUCGAGGCGAUCGCCCUCGGCGUUUCGAUUUUCGAGCUUCUGCUGUCCAGCGAGGAGGACGGCGACACCCAAUCUGUCGCACCCGGCACGUCGUCGCGUCGCAGUGGGGCUUCUCUUUACCUGCCGACAAUGACGCGUGCUAGUUCGGCCAUCAUACCUGCAUCGAGCCUGGCCGGAAUGGUGGGCGGCAGCACCGCGGCUGGCGGCAGCAACGUCGCCGCACGUACCUCCUUUUCGCUAGCCGCGUCUAUCAAAGCCUCCACUUCCGUCGCACGGCAGCAGCUGGCUCGCCGUGGUCUGGAGUCACUAACGACAACCGUCUACGGCGCCUCUGCGGCGGCGUCGCUCGCCGCCGGCUGGGAUCGACGGGAGGAGGAGGGGCAGCUGAAGGACACCUCGACGAUUUUCCGUUUCAACCGCCGGCGCCGCCGCCCUGGAGGCGAGAGGAGGGUUGCAGACGGUGCCCUCUUGACCGAUGAAAAGCCUGAAGGGCCUGUCGAAGAUGCUGGUGAGCGAAGCGGCGAUGCUACUGUGCACGGCGAGCCAGGCGUCACUCGGCUCAAGACAGCCGAGGAGCGGCGCGCGGCUAUCAUCAGCAUGGAGCCGGCUGCCUUCUGGCCCGCUGAAGAGGGGGGCGAGGGUGAUGGGGCUGAGGAGGACCAGCCAUCGUCGAGCAGGGUCAAGCCAGGAGCAGACCAGAGCAGUGCGACGCAAUCCGUCAAGGAGGAGGACGGCGGCGACGGUGAGAAGGACCGAAGCCGCGCUGACGCUCUUCGCCCCCCAGUAAAGCGCGACCGGGGCGGUGAAAGAGUCGCCGAUACAGCCGCUGCCGUAGCAGGGGUGGUGAAGACAUCAUCAGGCAUGGAGGGCAAGGGCGUGGGGAAGACGACGAAAAAGGCGAGCGCCGGCGCAGCCGUGGGCCGCUUCAACAACACGAUAGUGGGGGAGCGGGACAGGGACCUGACAGAGUUGGAGGGGUUCCUGACAGAGGCCGAGGCGAUCGCAAACGCGGAAGCGGAGCUGGCCGAGCCGUCUGGAAAUGCGAGGGAAGUGGCCGCAGGCUCGAUGCGGGAUGAUGAGCAACACGACGAUGACGCGGUGGACGUAUUGCCGGAAUCCUAUGAGCUCCCCUCGCUGGAGGAGGUCAGCAAGCAGUUCCAAGACCCGGUUAUGGCGCAACUUUUUCUUGAUGCCUCCAGCUUCACGCCCGGAGGCGGGGUGCGGAGCGGGGAGGGGCAAGACAGCGGCCAGAAUCCAUGGGCUGACUUGGCGGAGGCGAACCACAACGCCAGUGCCGCUCCCGGGCUUCCGGCUGGCACGGGGCUGGAGGACAAGGUGACGCUCCGUGAGGCUGUGGCUGUGCUGGGAAAGGCCGGUUUCAUCUCACUUGCCGUUGCCGUUGUGGAGUGCUACAGUGCGGUGGGCCAGUUCACGGAGGCGCGCGAGUUCGCGUUUGUCGCACUCACUCACUUUUCGCAGAAGCGCCGGCUGCGGCAGAUGGGAAACGGACUCGAGCGGCCGCUGCGGCUGGCGGUACUGCGAGCCGCACUCGCCGCGGGUGAGAGCGAGGAUGCUUACCGGGUAGGGCUCCGGCUCCUGCAGCAGGACACCGCCGAGGACAAGCGCCGUGAGGUGGUGGAGCUGAUGCACAGCGUGCUGAACCGCUGCUACGAUCGCAGCUCCAUCCUGUACCGCGCCGUCGCUGACGGCUACAGUGACCCUGCGCUACUUGUGCUGCUGGCUAACCGAUAUCACCAAACGCGCAGCUACGCACGCGUGCUGAAUCUGUACCUGAUGGCGCUACGGGAGAGGCCGUCAGACAUUCUGCUCAACUUCAUGGUGGGUCUCUCCUACCUGUUCUGCAGCCACCGAAAGCGAACUCGGUCUCGUGAGGCGUGCGUGUCGGCGGCCAUCUACUACCUGACUCAAUAUCAGCAGCUCCGCCUGGCACUGGAGCCAGCUGCCGGCAUCGGGGAGGUACUCUACAACAUCGCUCGCACUUUGCAGUUUCUGAAGUUGUACUACAUGUGCAUCCCUUUAUAUGAGCGGGUCGCGUACGACUUGUGCCCGCCGGAGGAGUGCACCAUCGCUCUGCAGCGCGCCGCGCGCGUGAACCUCUACUUUGUAUACCGCUGGGCCUCGGGAAAUCGAACGCUGGCGCUGACGGCCCUGCAGGCGCGCAGUGUGCCCAAUGGCACAGCUGUGACAUCACCACGUCCGCCUAGCCCCUUCCGUCUCAAGACGGACGGUGAAAUUCUUAACGUGCCGAGUCAGCGUACACCUUGAAGCCAUGAGAAAGUUCGCGUGUGAAUGUCGAGCACAAAAUGGUUUUCAAGUCGUGUUACGAGGGUGAGAACGUUACCCUGGUGGUGGUGGGCUGCCUCUCUGCACCCGCGAAUACACGACCACGAGAGAGGGGCACAGAAGGGCAACAGAAAGGCGGUUCAGCGUAGCCACCCACCCCGCCCCCCUCAUCUGCGCACACGUUCGUGCACAUCUAUACGUGACUCGCGUAGAUGGAUGCUUUGGCGCCGCAGGGGACGUCUUUCGAGAGUGACGCGGGUGAAGCCACGGCGGUUCGACACACCAAGCCGGGUACUGCCGACUGGCAAGUGGAGACUCAUGGCUUUUGCCUGUUCUAUCGACUCGGACGCAUUGCACGCCACACGCCACACGAAAAUGGAUGCAGAUGAAUCGCAACACUUCGUCCUCCCCGUCCCGCCGUUUUCCUGCUUCUCCUCCCUUCUCUUCCUUUCCUGCCGCUGACUCCUCUUCCCCCCUUUUUCGGUUUUGCACGAUGCCCCAG
rnacentral:misc_RNA from 1 species